AGUGAACGCUGGCGGUAGGCCUAACACAUGCAAGUCGAACGGCAGCACAGUAAGAGCUUGCUCUUACGGGUGGCGAGUGGCGGACGGGUGAGGAAUACAUCGGAAUCUACUUUUUCGUGGGGGAUAACGUAGGGAAACUUACGCUAAUACCGCAUACGACCUACGGGUGAAAGCAGGGGAUCUUCGGACCUUGCGCGAUUGAAUGAGCCGAUGUCGGAUUAGCUAGUUGGCGGGGUAAAGGCCCACCAAGGCGACGAUCCGUAGCUGGUCUGAGAGGAUGAUCAGCCACACUGGAACUGAGACACGGUCCAAACUCCUACGGGAGGCAGCAGUGGGGAAUAUUGGACAAUGGGCGCAAGCCUGAUCCAGCCAUACCGCGUGGGUGAAGAAGGCCUUCGGGUUGUAAAGCCCUUUUGUUGGGAAAGAAAAGCAGCAGGUUAAUACCCCGCUGUUCUGACGUUACCCAAAGAAUAAGCACCGGCUAACUUCGUG
rnacentral:rRNA from 1 species